GCCUUGCUAGCUCAAUGGCUAGAGCGUGAGACUUUUAAAAAGAGUAUCUCAAGGUUGCGGGUUCGACCCCCGCGUGAGGCU